ensembl:lncRNA
ACCGGCAGAGACUUGAGAAAACUAUGGGGCAAGAAUGUGAGAUUAGAUAUAUACAAAUUAAUUGACUGAGGGGCACUUUCUGGGGUAUAGAGGAUUUAACACCCCAAGAAGAACUCUGUUAUAGACUGAAUGCGUCGCCCCAAAAUUCAUCUCUUUAAACCUAAUCCCCCGUGUGACUUGGAGGUAAGAGGCCCCAGACAGCUCGCCUGUCCUUUCCACCACGUGAAGACACAGCAAAGAGACAGCUGUUUGUGAACCAGGAAGUGGGCUCUCCCCAGACACCAAAUCGGCAAGCACCUCAGUCUUGGACUUCCCAGCCUUCAGAACCGUGAGAAAUAAAAGUUUGUUGUUUAAAUCACUCAGACUGUGGUCUUCUGUUAUAGCAGCACAAACUCAGAUACUGAUGUUCAGGGAAAACUUGCUAAGGGGAUGGAUUUUUAGAAACCGGGGGGAAAAGCCCAUUCUUAGCGAAGUGAGAAAUGUCUGAAUGGUACUGGCAGACUGUAGAGGAAGGAAUAAAGAGGCUGAGCAAAGUGAGCAUACCGGACCAGAAGAUCCAUCAGAGGACUGUGCUCUGCGAAUGUCCCCAGAGGAGACGGCAUUCACCCACGGCCAUCAGGAAAACAGUGCUGAGAGAAAGACCAACAUCACCAAGUCUGCAGGCCAGAGAUGAAGAUCCUGGUGGAAUCCGUGAUGGGAAAAGAUGCAGUUGGAAUUUAUGGCAAGUCUACUGGAAGAAUCAUGACACAGACCCUUGGGAUUCUGAAGCACAGUCAUGCCAUCUGCAGCAGAUAAUUGCUGCCCAUUGAGAAACAGCUCUUGGCCUAUCACUGUGCCCUGUAGAGACUGAUCAUUUGACCACUGGACAGUAAACCUAUCCAUUCCCUCAGACCCUUUUCAGCUGAGUGACCGGAUUUGCUAACUCCCACCAUUCCGGCUGUAUUUGUUGACAUUCUAAUAAACAGUGCUUCCCUUCUCCGUCACUCAUUUAUUUAUAACAGAUGGAUUCAUGAAUUCUUAGUUAACAGAUUAAAAUCCAUUGCCAUCAUUAUUUAUUUUGAUGUUCUCAUUGUCCUAGAUUUGAUCAAUGGGAGUGCCAGUCCUUUGUGAGUCAGGAGCCCCAGAUGUGUCGUGUCUUCCUCAUUCUUUGAGCCCUUUCUUACUUUUUGGUGUAACCAGAUGCUCCCAACUCAACUUGUACUUUCCCUGCUGCAGCUCUUGAGUCAACCAUUUCUUCAAGGAUCUCUGCUUUCUUUUCAUGGAGAAUGGUAUCCAAGGACCAUGAUCUGAGUUGUGGGUUUGCUCAUUUCUCCUGUUGUGUCAUUGCUUAUAGUUCCUCUCAGCACAGAUAUACAUACAAAUGUCUGUAUUUAUCGCUAUACCAGUUUAUACAGAUACCUUCAAUUGCAGUCUAUCACUACUUUUUAG